rnacentral:rRNA from 1 species
GACGAACGCUGGCGGCGUGCUUAACGCAUGCAAGUCGAACGGAAAGACCCUGCUUUUGUGGGGUGCUCGAGUGGCGAACGGGUGAGUAACACGUGAGUAACCUGCCCUUGACUUUGGGAUAACUUCAGGAAACUGGGGCUAAUACCGGAUAGGAGCUCCUGCUGCAUGGUGGGGGUUGGAAAGUUUCGGCGGUUGGGGAUGGACUCGCGGCUUAUCAGCUUGUUGGUGGGGUAGUGGCUUACCAAGGCUUUGACGGGUAGCCGGCCUGAGAGGGUGACCGGCCACAUUGGGACUGAGAUACGGCCCAGACUCCUACGGGAGGCAGCAGUGGGGAAUAUUGCACAAUGGGCGGAAGCCUGAUGCAGCAACGCCGCGUGCGGGAUGACGGCCUUCGGGUUGUAAACCGCUUUCGCCUGUGACGAAGCGUGAGUGACGGUAAUGGGUAAAGAAGCACCGGCUAACUACGUG